AUGGUGAUGAUUGCGUAUAUUCAUGAUGGGGACUCACGUCACCUGUGUUCUUGCUUCCUCUGGUUUCUUGAUAUACUACCUUUUUUCCUAGGAAUAAUCAUUGAGCCACGGAUGAAAAACAAGAACAGGAAUAAUGACCCAACUACUAGUUCAUCAGAGCAGUGGUCCACAUUCCUUUUUCACCUUCCAUCGUCGCGCCACUCCAUCCACACACACAUUUCCGGAGCCUUUCGUGCUUCUACAAAAGAAUUACUUACUCACGGCUUGACAACAGAUUGGUUGGUUUACACAAAGACAAAGAUAGAAAACCCGGAGAGAAGAAGAAAAAAAGAUCAGUAG
rnacentral:rRNA from 1 species